CUGCACGAAUAAUAGAUGUGAACAAAUUAUCAUAAAUGUGAUGUUUGUGUUUCAUGCAGUCAGUUUCAUGUCUGUGCUGUUUAUCAGAAUUGAGUACUGAGGUAGUCAUCAACACCAACAAGUUUUGCUUGCCGGUAUAAAAAUUGUUAUGAGCAGCAGUCACAGCUUCAUCGAUGUGGUAAAUAGGAUCCCGUUCGAUGGCGAAUCCACCGAUGUCGGGCUAUACCCCUUUUCCUCGUGUACAAUCAUGUGUUUGGGAACGCAUU